UUUUGGCAGCGAGCGCAGCACAACGUCGAAGUUGUUGCAAGCAUUUCUUGAAGAGACGAAAACAUUUCAUGCGCGCUCAAUCAAAGUCACAACUCGAAAUACAAUCGCAUUGAGUGUAACUGCAAAUUGUGUUUCAAGUGCUCAAAAGUGCAAAAUGCGCUACUAGGCGUAUACGUGAUAAUUUUGCACAGCUAACUCAACUUUACAAACAACAAGAACAACAACAACAAC